rnacentral:rRNA from 1 species
UACGUAGGUGACAAGCGUUGUCCGGAUUUACUGGGCGUAAAGAGCGCGCAGGCGGUCGUUCAAGUCGAGUGUGAAAGCCCCCGGCUCAACUGGGGAGGGUCAUUCGAUACUGAUCGACUCGAAGGCAGGAGAGGGAAGUGGAAUUCCCGGUGUAGUGGUGAAAUGCGUAGAUAUCGGGAAGAACACCAACGGCGAAGGCAGCUCGCUAGGACGGUACUGACGCUGAGACGCGAAAGCGUGGGGAGCGAACAGG